UACGUAGGGCGCAGGCGUUAAUCGGAAUUACUGGGCGUAAAGCGUGCGCAGGCGGUCUGCUAAGAGAGGUGUGAAAUCCCCGGGCUUAACCUGGGAACUGCGCUUCUAACUGGCAGGCUAGAGUGUGGCAGAGGGGGGUGGAAUUCCACGUGUAGCAGUGAAAUGCGUAGAGAUGUGGAGGAACACCGAUGGCGAAGGCAGCCCCCUGGGCUAACACUGACGCUCAUGCACGAAAGCGUGGGGAGCAAACAGG
rnacentral:rRNA from 1 species